rnacentral:rRNA from 1 species
GCCAACGACCAUACCACGUUGAAUACACCAGUUCUCGUCCGAUCACUGAAGUUAAGCAACGUCGGGCGUAGUUAGUACUUGGAUGGGUGACCGCUUGGGAACACUACGUGCCGUUGGUU